rnacentral:rRNA from 1 species
UACGUAGGGACCGAGCGUUGUCCGGAAUCAUUGGGCGUAAAGAGCGUGUAGGCGGCCUUUUAAGUCCUGCGUGAAAUCCUGCGGCUCAACCGCAGACGGUCGUGGGAAACUGGAAGGCUAGGGUGCGGGAGAGGAGAGUGGAAUUCCCGGUGUAGCGGUGAAAUGCGCAGAUAUCGGGAAGAACACCCGUGGCGAAGGCGGCUCUCUGGAACGCAACUGACGCUGAGACGCGAAAGCGUGGGGGAGCAAACAGG